GCGGGGCUGGGAGAGACCCAGAGGUGUCGGGCUUGGCGUUGUUGGUGUGGGGGUGGCGAGGUCACUGAGGCACCUUAGGCCGAGCUCCAGCAAAGAAGCCGCCGCUGGUUGCGCAGCCUCUGGCAUAGCGAAAUCCUACGAGCACUUGGCAAAAAUACGAGUAGCGAGAGAAGCGGCUCCAGAGUGCAGCUGUCCACCAGGUCCUCCAGGGAAAAGAGGUAAGCGGGGAAGAAGAGGAGAGACUGGUAAGUUUUUAAUUUCCUAAGAUCUAUUGUCAUGUGAUGUUUUUGUGAGGAUGUGUACCCAGCAUGCCUUGAUUUUUAGU
rnacentral:lncRNA from 1 species